GUGAUAUCAGUCCUCCACAGCAACAAGGAAAGGUUCGGAGUCAUCCAGAUAAAAUGAGAUUCAUUGUCUUGAUCACCAUCAUCGUCACUGUAGCCCUUAUUGAUGGGGGCAGCAGCAUGACCGCGGGGCCUUCAUCACCGUGUCAGGACAAAAGUCCAAAAAGUCAUUAUGAAGAAUUUGUAAGCAGACACAUCCUUCAAGAGGAAUUUGACAGAAAUUCCCUAGAUGCUUGGAAAAGGUAUUUGAAAAAAGAACACCUCUGGUGCAGAACUACAGUGCAAUCGUUCCUCAAUAAAAGUGAUCUGGAGACCGUGAACAGAAUCUGCAGCAAAGACGGGCGACGCUUAAGCAAGACGGAUAACUAUGCAGGGAACUUGUGCAUCAGCAACUCAGAAAUGCUGAUAUAUGACAUCGCAUCCAGGAAAAGGAACAAGGAUUGUAAAAUUAAAAUUGGUGCAAAGAAAAGGGUUGUGAUUGUGGCAUGCGACAAGGUUGGAAACCAAUGUCUCCCUGUUCAUUUUCAGAAAUAUGAACACCAGAGAGCAAGCAAUAUACCCUGCAG